AAAAACAUCGCCUCUUGCUAAUAAAGUAUAAGAGGUCCUGCCUGCCCUGUGACAUAAUGUUCAACGGCCGCGGUAUCUUGACCGUGUGAAGGUAGCGUAAUCAUUUGUCUUUUAAAUGAAGACCUGUAUGAAUGGCGUGACGAGAGCUUAACUGUCUCACUCUUUUAGUCAAUGAAAUUGAUCUCCCCGUGCAGAAGCGAGGAUAAACACAUAAGACGAAAAGACCCUAUGGAGCUUUAGAAUCUGAAGCAGCCCAGAUAAAUAUUAUACAAAAUACAGGACCCUGCUCUCACAUUUCUUCGGUUGGGGCGACCAUGGAGAAAAACAAAACCUCCACGAAAAAAGUACUAAUACUUGUAUGAAUUAACGAAACACAACCCUAAAUUCCAGAAUCUCUGUUUAUAAAUGAUCCGGCUUCAUUUUAAAGCCGACCAACGAAUCAAGUUACCCUAGGGAUAACAGCGCAAUCCCCUUCUAGAGUCCACAUCGACAAGGGGGUUUACGACCUCGAUGUUGGAUCAGGACAUCCUAAUGGCGCAGCCGCUAUUAAGGGUUCGUUUGUUCAACGAUUAAAGUCCUACGUGAU
rnacentral:rRNA from 1 species